GCCUUUUUUCUCCCCCUUUGCCUCCUCUGGGGCCGUUUUUUCUCAUUUUUCUCCCCCUUUGGCUGUUCCUGGGGCCACUUUACUCUCAUUUUUUGAUGUUUUCUCUCAUUUUUGGCCACUUUUCCUCACUUUUCUCCCUCUUUGGCUCUUUCUGGGGCCAUUUUUCCUCAUUUUUCUGCCCGUUUGGCUGCUCUGGGACCAUUUUCUCCUCAUUUCUGGCCCUUUCUCUCUCUCUCUCUCCCCUUCUGGGGCUGUUUUCCCUCACUUCUCUCCCACUCUGGUUAUUCCUGGGGCUGUUUCUCCCCCUUCCUGGUUGUUUUUCCUCACUUUUCUCCCCAUUCCUGCCUAUUCCUCCCUCUCUCUCUCCCUGUUUGGUUAUUUCUGGGGCCAUUUUUCCCCAUUUCUGACUGUUCCUCUCUCUCUUUCCCCAUUCCUGGCCAUUCCUGUCUCUCUCUCUCCCUCUUUGGGGCUCUUUUUCCUCACUUUUCUCUCCCUUUGGGGCAGUUUUUCCUCACUUUUCUCCCCAUUCCUGUCUCUCUCUCCCCAUUCCUGUCUCUCUGUCCCUGUCCCUGGUGUCUGUGCCUGUCCCAUGGCGGGAGGAUUGUCAGGGCGUGGGGACUGAAGGGCCCCGCUCACCUCUGGGGCUGUUUCUCCUCAUUUUUCUCCCCCUCUGGGGCAGUUUUUCCUCACUUUUCUCCCCAUCCCUGGCCAUUCCUGUCUCUCUCUCCCCAUUCCUGUCUCUCUGUCUGUCCCUGGUGUCUGUGCCUGUCCCAUGGGCGGGAGGAUUGUCAGGGCGUGGGGACUGAAGGGCCCCGCUCACCUCUGGGGCAGUUUUUCCUCUCUCUCUCCCAUUCCUGUCUCUCUCUCUGGGGCAGUUUUUCCUCUCUUUCUCCCCCUUUGGGGCAGUUUUUCCUCUCUCUCUCUCCAUCCCUGUCCCUGUCCCUGGUGUCUGUGCCUGUGGCGUGGUGGGAGGAUUGUCAGGGCGUGGGGACUGAAGGGCCCCGCUCACCUCUGGGGCAG
rnacentral:lncRNA from 1 species